rnacentral:misc_RNA from 1 species
AAGUCGUAACAAGGUUUCCGUAGGUGAACCUGCGGAAGGAUCAUUACAAAUAAAGCUGGUAGGAAGUGGGGUCUUGAUCUGUAAGUGGUAGAGCGAACAGUCCGGCUGCCUCCCGAAAUGGCUUACAUGUCCCCCGACAGCCUGAAGGCCGAAUUACAACCCUUGAUUAUCUACACUUGUCUGGUUGGGCUCAUAGCCGCCACGACCACUCAUUCUGCAUUAGACGACUCGUAGCUAUCUAUAUAAUUUAAUUCAAAUU